ACACUCCUACGGGAGGCAGCAGUGGGGAAUAUUGGACAAUGGGCGCAAGCCUGAUCCAGCCAUGCCGCGUGAGUGAUGAAGGCCCUAGGGUUGUAAAGCUCUUUCACCGGAGAAGAUAAUGACGGUAUCCGGAGAAGAAGCCCCGGCUAACUUCGUGCCAGCAGCCGCGGUAAUACGAAGGGGGCUAGCGUUGUUCGGAAUUACUGGGCGUAAAGCGCACGUAGGCGGAUCGAUCAGUCAGGGGUGAAAUCCCAGGGCUCAACCCUGGAACUGCCUUUGAUACUGUCGAUCUGGAGUAUGGAAGAGGUGAGUGGAAUUCCGAGUGUAGAGGUGAAAUUCGUAGAUAUUCGGAGGAACACCAGUGGCGAAGGCGGCUCACUGGUCCAUUACUGACGCUGAGGUGCGAAAGCGUGGGGAGCAAACAGGAUUAGAUACCCGGGUAGUCCC
rnacentral:rRNA from 1 species